GACGAACGCUGGCGGCGUGCCUAAUACAUGCAAGUUGAGCGAUGAAGAUUGGUGCUUGCACCAAUUUGAAGAGCAGCGAACGGGUGAGUAACGCGUGGGGAAUCUGCCUUUGAGCGGGGGACAACAUUUGGAAACGAAUGCUAAUACCGCAUAACAACUUUAAACAUAAGUUUUAAGUUUGAAAGAUGCAAUUGCAUCACUCAAAGAUGAUCCCGCGUUGUAUUAGCUAGUUGGUGAGGUAAAGGCUCACCAAGGCGAUGAUACAUAGCCGACCUGAGAGGGUGAUCGGCCACAUUGGGACUGAGACACGGCCCAAACUCCUACGGGAGGCAGCAGUAGGGAAUCUUCGGCAAUGGACGAAAGUCUGACCGAGCAACGCCGCGUGAGUGAAGAAGGUUUUCGGAUCGUAAAACUCUGUUGGUAGAGAAGAACGUUGGUGAGAGUGGAAAGCUCAUCAAGUGACGGUAACUACCCAGAAAGGGACGGCUAACUACAUG
rnacentral:rRNA from 1 species